rnacentral:rRNA from 1 species
UACGAAGGGGGCUAGCGUUGUUCGGAAUUACUGGGCGUAAAGCGCACGUAGGCGGACAUUUAAGUCAGGGGUGAAAUCCCAGAGCUCAACUCUGGAACUGCCUUUGAUACUGGGUGUCUUGAGUAUGGAAGAGGUGAGUGGAAUUCCAGGUGUAGCGGUGAAAUGCGUAGAUAUCUGGAGGAACACCGGUGGCGAAGGCGGCAUCCUGGACCGGCAUUGACGCUGAGGAGCGAAAGCCAGGGAGCAACGGG